ensembl:lncRNA
AGAAGAACUACGUUCCCCAAGAGCCUUUUCGAGUACUGUUAUCAUUCCUGCUCAAGGGAACAGAUAUAAGGGCACAGGUCAUCUGACUUGUCCCUCUUCUCAUCUUGCCGUGUUCCCUGCCGGAUCGGCUCGCUACUGCUGCUCCCAACUGCACGCAAGGCUUCAGUAUUAGCGAGCUGAAAUCAGCUACAGAUCUAUUACCCCAAAUGGAAACUACUACAGUAGCCCAUGCAUUGCGGAGUGAGCACAGUGAGGCUGCACUGUUCUGAGAGCAAGAGUAGGAGGGGGCAUUUACUCAGAGGACAGCAUGUGCCAUCCCAUAUCAGAAGGGCACUCAAAGAAACCACUCAUUAGAAAAAACACAGACUGCUCCUCUGCCUGUGACCAUCCUGCUCCACCAAGGAAGCUGUGACCAGGGUGACAGGGUUCACUCCUUUCAAGCUUGUUCUUCACCAUCUCUGCAGCACCUGUCCCUGCACUCCUGCCGCACAGGGCUUGGGAUCAUGCCUUGGCCUUGUGCAGAGGUGUGAUUCUUACCAUCACAGUGCACUGCAUCAUGAUGAAAGAUGCUUUGGACCUUACAACUGCAGGAAACAUGAGACAGGGGUCAGCUCGUGGCUCAGUGGAUGAGAUCAAAAUCCUCCUUGAUGCCAGUAGAAUUUCUCUUCGGGGAUCACAUCAGACAUAAGUAAUGGAGCCCACCAGACAGUUAAUAAUGGGGCGAGAGGAGAGGAUUUUGUUCUGUGAUUAUAUUUUGUCUUUUAAACAUGUAUCAAACCCAUGAAUUUUAAUGAACAUCUUUUUCUUCUUUUUUUUUUUUCUCCUAUGGACAUUACAGAGUAAUAUUUUUAUAUUACACAUCCUAUCUUUUAAAAGGAGUUUUCCCUGUUCUCCAAACCAAACAGUUUUUGCCGAAUCAAGUCUCCUUGUUUCAGGUACAUCUCCC